rnacentral:rRNA from 1 species
GCCGGUAAAUCUCGUGCCAGCCACCGCGGUUAUACGAAAGGCCCGAGUUGAUGGUCACCGGCGUAAAGAGUGAUUAUAGCAUGUUAAAAUAACUAAAGCCAAAGCCCUUCCCGGCUGUCAUACGCACCCGAAGGCAUGAGGCCCCUACACGAAAGUAGCUUUAACCACAAGACCCCUAGAACUCACGACAGCCAAGAUACAAACUGGGAUUAGAUACCCCACUAUG